rnacentral:miRNA from 1 species
GUAAGAUUGGAUACUCUCACC